CAGCCGCCGCGGUAAUACGGAGGGUGCAAGCGUUAAUCGGAAUUACUGGGCGUAAAGCGUGCGUAGGCGGUUCGUUAAGUCUGUUGUGAAAGCCCCGGGCUCAACCUGGGAAUGGCAAUGGAUACUGGCGAGCUAGAGUGUGUCAGAGGAUGGUGGAAUUCCCGGUGUAGCGGUGAAAUGCGUAGAGAUCGGGAGGAACAUCAGUGGCGAAGGCGGCCAUCUGGGACAACACUGACGCUGAGGCACGAAAGCGUGGGGAGCAAACAGGAUUAGAUACCCGUGUAGUCCCUGUCUCUUAUAC
rnacentral:rRNA from 1 species